rnacentral:rRNA from 1 species
ACGAACGCUGGCGGCGUGCCUAACGCGUGCAAGUCGAGCGGGGAUGGUAGCUGAAGGUGAUGAGCUGGAAGCUGCCAUCUUAGCGGCGGACGGGUGAGUAACACGUGAGCAACCUACCCUCAGCACGGGGAUAACAGCUCGAAAGGGCUGCUAAUACCCGAUGGGACCACGUCAUUGCAUGGUGAUGUGGUGAAAGGGUGGACGUAAGGUCCAUACCGGCUGGGGAUGGGCUCGCGGCCCAUCAGCUAGUUGGUGAGGUAACGGCCUACCAAGGCGACGACGGGUAGCCGGCCUGAGAGGGUGACCGGCCACAGUGGGACUGAGACACGGCCCACACUCCUACGGGAGGCAGCAGCGGGGAAUCUUGCGCAAUGGGCGAAAGCCUGACGCAGCGACGCCGCGUGAGGGAAGGAGCCCUUCGGGGUGUAAACCUCUUUGGACGGGGUGAAGUAGGAGAUAGUACCCGUUUAAAAAACCACGGCUAACUACGUGCCAGCAGCCGCGGUAAUACGUAGGUGGCGAGCGUUGUCCGGAAUUACUGGGCGUAAAGGGUGCGUAGGCGGCCUGGUAAGUUGAGCGUGAAAUUUUUGGGCUCAACCCAAAAGGAGCGUUCAAGACUGCCAGGCUUGAGUGCGGGAGAGGACGGCGGAAUUCCCGGUGUAGCGGUGAAAUUGCGUAUAUAUCGGGGAGGAACACCAGUGGGCGAAGGCGGCCGUCUGGACCGUUACUGACGCUGAGGCACGGAAGCGUGGGGAGCAAACAGGAUUAGAUACC